rnacentral:misc_RNA from 1 species
CUGGAGCAAAAGCUGUAGCAAGAGCAGAAGAGGCUUCUGUUGCAAGAGCAAUCUCAAAAACCCGGCACUGACGCUCUCCGAGGGCUUCCUUAAGCAGACAAAGGCAGCUUAUAUGGACGCGCAAAAUACGCCUCGCAAAACUUAAUGAAGCCAUAGCAGAUGAAGAAUUUGAAUGGUUAGAGGCCACAGUAAAAUCAGGCAUUUUUGCUAUAGUUGGUCCAAUAUUAUUGACUAUAGCAGAUACAGCAGAUGAGACCAAAGAAGGGUCACGGGUCCCCUUGUUGAGCAGCACCACCAGUCUGCCGAAAGCAAUCCAGCAGCAGUCCCACAAUUAUUUGAUGAGCUAUCUGGUAACCAUCAUCAGAUUUUUCAUAUCCAGGACCUUUUUGUGUACCAGCACCAAAGAACU